CCUACGGGUGGCAGCAGUGAGGAAUAUUGGUCAAUGGACGAGAGUCUGAACCAGCCAAGUAGCGUGAAGGAUGACUGCCCUAUGGGUUGUAAACUUCUUUUAUAUGGGAAUAAAGUGUUCCACGUGUGGCAUUUUGUAUGUACCAUAUGAAUAAGGAUCGGCUAACUCCGUGCCAGCAGCCGCGGUAAUAAGGAGGAUCCGAGCGUUAUCCGGAUUUAUUGGGUUUAAAGGGAGCGUAGGUGGAUUGUUAAGUCAGUUGUGAAAGUUUGCGGCUCAACCGUAAAAUUGCAGUUGAAACUGGCAGUCUUGAGUACAGUAGAGGUGGGCGGAAUUCGUGGUGUAGCGGUGAAAUGCUUAGAUAUCACGAAGAACUCCGAUUGCGAAGGCAGCUCACUGGACUACAACUGACACUGAGGCUCGAAAGUGUGGGUAUCAAACAGGAUUAGAUACCCUUGUAGUC
rnacentral:rRNA from 1 species